UACGGAGGGUGCAAGCGUUAUCCGGAUUUAUUGGGUUUAAAGGGUCCGUAGGCGGACUUAUAAGUCAGUGGUGAAAGCCUGUCGCUUAACGAUAGAACUGCCAUUGAUACUGUAAGUCUUGAGUAUAUUUGAGGUAGCUGGAAUAAGUAGUGUAGCGGUGAAAUGCAUAGAUAUUACUUAGAACACCAAUUGCGAAGGCAGGUUACCAAGAUAUAACUGACGCUGAGGGACGAAAGCGUGGGGAGCGAACAGG
rnacentral:ncRNA from 5 species